AUGGACAAGGGCAAGAUAUUCCUGAACACCUUCGUGCAGAUCUUCGGCAGCUGGUCUCUUGAGGGGGUCACCGACACGUCCAGCACCAAAGCCAUUUUCAACUCCAGGGUCGGCUUCACUCUGGCGUGGGCCUCACACAAAGCCCAGGGUGCUACCCCGGAGGCCAAGUAUGAAUCCUUCGUGGCCAUGUUCGACAAGUCGCUCUACAUCAUCGUCGGCAUCCUGAAGGUCCACUCCGGUGAGGAAGUCAAGGGGCCGAUCCCUGCCGGUGAGCUCAAGGCCAUCGACCAGAUCGACGCCGCCUUCAGCACUGCAGCCACCACUGCCGACGCUGCCCCGAUAAAGGACAGGUCCACCGUCUUCGACUCUGCCUUCAGCAAGGCCAUCAAGGAGACCACUGGUGAUGCAUACGAGGCCUACAAGUUUGUCCCUGCCCUCAAGUCCGCCGUCAAGAAGAGCUACGCCAUUUUUCUUCCCAGGAAUCCCCAGGACAAGCGCACGCUCAUUGAGUCAUUCCUGAGCGACACCAUCGUCUCCAUGGUCGUCCCCGCCCCCGCCACUCCCACCGCCGCCGCCGCUGCCAGUGGCUACAAAGUCUGA
rnacentral:rRNA from 1 species